rfam:Roseiflexus sp. RS-1, complete genome.
GCAACCCUACCCCGGUCGGGGGCGGUGUGUUGUUUCGAGCCAACACAGUUUCGAAGGGAGUCGUGCUCCGACAGCAUGGGCUAUGCGGCGGGCCGCAGAUACCCACGGGCCGGCACCCACCUGCCUUGUGCAGGUUCGAAACCUAUCCGCUUCACGCCGGCGGUGGGGUUUUC